rnacentral:rRNA from 1 species
UGGGGAAUAUUGCACAAUGGGCGCAAGCCUGAUGCAGCCAUGCCGCGUGUAUGAAGAAGGCCUUCGGGUUGUAAAGUACUUUCAGCGAGGAGGAAGGCGGUAAGGUUAAUAACCUUAUCGAUUGACGUUACUCGCAGAAGAAGCACCGGCUAACUCCGUGCCAGCAGCCGCGGUAAUACGGAGGGUGCAAGCGUUAAUCGGAAUUACUGGGCGUAAAGCGCACGCGGGCGGUUUGUCAAGUCGGAUGUGAAAUCCCCGGGCUCAACCUGGGAACUGCAUUCGAAACUGGCAGGCUAGAGUCUUGUAGAGGGGGGUAGAAUUCCAGGUGUAGCGGUGAAAUGCGUAGAGAUCUGGAGGAAUACCGGUGGCGAAGGCGGCCCCCUGGACAAAGACUGACGCUCAGGUGCGAAAGCGUGGGGAGCAAACA